rnacentral:rRNA from 1 species
GACGAACGCUGGCGGCGUGCUUAACACAUGCAAGUCGAACGGAAAGGCCCUGCUUUUGUGGGGUGCUCGAGUGGCGAACGGGUGAGUAACACGUGAGUAACCUGCCCUUGACUUUGGGAUAACUUCAGGAAACUGGGGCUAAUACCGGAUAGGAGCUCCUGCUGCAUGGUGGGGGUUGGAAAGUUUCGGCGGUUGGGGAUGGACUCGCGGCUUAUCAGCUUGUUGGUGGGGUAGUGGCUUACCAAGGCUUUGACGGGUAGCCGGCCUGAGAGGGUGACCGGCCACAUUGGGACUGAGAUACGGCCCAGACUCCUACGGGAGGCAGCAGUGGGGAAUAUUGCACAAUGGGCGGAAGCCUGAUGCAGCAACGCCGCGUGCGGGAUGACGGCCUUCGGGUUGUAAACAGCUUUCGCCGGUGACGAAGCGUGAGUGACGGUAAUGGGUAAAGAAGCACCGGCUAACUACGUG